rnacentral:sRNA from 1 species
GCCGGGUGCUGUGGCGCACGCCUGUAAUCCCAGUGGCUCAGGAGGCUGAAGCAGGAGGAUGGUGAGUUCAAAGUCAGCCUCAGCAACUUAGUGAGGUCCAAAAGCAACUCAGGGAGACCCUGUUUCUA